rnacentral:lncRNA from 1 species
CGCUGGGGUCCCCUUCCACGCUGUGGAAGCUUUGUUCUUUCGCUCUUUGCAAUAAAUCUUGCUGCUGCUCACUCUUUGGGUCCACACUGCCUUUAUGAGCUGUAACACUCACCGGGAAGGUCUGCAGCUUCACUCCUGAAGCCAGCGAGACCACGAACCCACCGGGAGGAACGAACAACUCCAGACGCGCCUCCUUAAGAGCUGCAACACUCACCGUGAAGGUCUGCAGCUUCACUCCUGAGCCAGCGAGACCACGAACCCACCAGAAGGAAGAAACUCCGAACACAUCCGAACAUCAGAAGGAAGAAACUCCCGACACACCGCCGCCUUUAAGAACUGUAACACUCACCGCGAGGGUCCGCGGCUUCAUUCUUCAAGUCAGUGAGACCGAGAACCCACCAAUUCCGGACACAAUAUAGUCCAAGGAUGUCAAAAAUACGUGAUUGCAGUAGAAGUCUGGUAGGAAAAGCAAUUAAUGAAGGCCAAGAGCAAUGGAAGAAGAUUUCUUCACAAGUGUCUCAUUGGAAAAUUGCUGAUUCAAAUAACAGCAAUCACGAGUCCAGAAUAGUGACUUUCUGACUCAGUCUCCGUGUAUGUUUACACCCGUGCUUGCCAUUUGUGUCUGGACAUUUUUAUCACCUGUCCUCCCUAAAGAGGAAAGACAUACAAUAAAACAAUGCCAGGCAGGGCACGGCAGCUCACCCCUGUGAUCCCAGCACUUUGGGAGGCCGAGGCAGGCAGAUCACCUGAGGUCAGGAGUUCAAGACCUGCCUGGCCAACAUGGCGAAACCCCAUCUCUACUAAAAAUACAAAAAAAGUAGCUGGGCGUGGUGGCGUGUGCCUGUAAUCCCAGCUACUGAGGAGGUUGAGGCAGGAGAAUCGCAUGAACCCGGGAGGCGGAAGUUGCAGUGAGCCGAGAUUGUGUCACUGAACUCCAGCCUGGGCGACAGACUGCUCAAAACAAAGAAAGAAAGAAAAACAAUGCCAGAGCCCCAUACCCAGAGACACUGACUUUUUUUUUGCAUGGGAUGUGGUCUGGUUAUUCGUGCUUUUUAACCUCUCCAAGAGACACAGAUGGGCAGUCAGUAUUGGAAACCAAUGGUAUAUAUUUUUACCCAUUAGCAUAAAGGGAAGGCAAUGUUUUUGCUGUACUGGAUUUUCUAAGGAGGAGGAGAGAUGGGAAAUGAGGAAAAAAGUCAUUUCUUUUUUCUGACCUUUAGUUUCUUCCCAAGCCCUGUUUCUGUAUAAAUUGUACCCAAAUACUUUCUCCCAAGACCACUGUAGCUUAGACAGAACAACAGGCUUAGUUUAGGGCAGGACCAAGAUAAUUUGGCAAAAAUCAAAAUUUGCUAUCAGAGAAUAAUUAGAAAUUCAUGCAAGAUUCCUCUCUAUCUAUAUGUCACAUUAUGCUAAAAUAUUUUUGGUGAAUAUUUUUAAAUAUACAUAUGUGUAUGUGCUUUUACAUAUGCAAAAACGUCUGAUUGAGUAGGUUAAUAAAAGGUUAUAUAUUUUAUCCCUUAUUGGAAAUUUACAAUGAGCAAUAACUCAAAUUUUAGUUAUCUGAAGUUAAAAGAAAGUAUUUAGUGUUAAAUUUCCCAAAGUAAUUUGACAGUGAAACUUUUUUCACAGGAGAGUUAACUUACAUUCUGGUGAACCAAUAUGCUACAGGAAAGAUUAGCCUGAACACAUAAAUUAUGCAGAAAAACAUUCAGGUACAAACACUAUAAUUAAUAAUAAAAAUGUUGCAUUUCAUUUUAAACUUUUAAGUGAGAAACUAAUAAUAACUAGUUCUGAGAUCAGGAAAUAAAUUAUAGAUACUUGCAGGACUUAUUUUGGUAUACUAUGAAAAUCAAUAAUAGCAGUAGGAAUGACACUCAACUGUAAAUUCAGUGGAAUUGUCUUUUGUUAUAAGAGACUGAAAAGCUGGGUUUCUGUCUCAGAUAAAAGAUUAUAGACUUGUGCAGUUUUUUUUAAAGACCUUUGCUGUUGUACUCACUGAUUAUCUGUUAUUAUUAGUGUAGCCACUGGACCAAAAAAUGUAUUUAAAAUCUUUUUCCAUUCAGCUUAAAUGAAUGCUUUCUGUUACUAACAUUUUAGUUCAUAAUACAGCAUACUUUUGCUUUGAGUUUUAAUAGGUCUGGAAUCAAAAGCAUUGAAUAGCAUACUGCUAAAAACCUUCAGUUAAAGAAAUUAGUAACGUUAGAACCACUGAGAUUGAAUAUUGAAAUUCAAUCAGAGACAUAUGAUACCAAUUCUCAGCUUAAAUUUUGUUUAAUAAAUCCCCAGAACUGUUGAAUUCAUUCACAUAUCCCUUCCAAGUUUUAGCAAGCUCUUCCUAAAUACAGUUCUAAAUUACUUUUCUGGUGUCAUUUGAGACAUAUUCAUUUCCUUCUCAGAAAGCUAACUUUGUAUCUCUGAAAACACUGUGGACCUUUUUCCUGGCUCUUAUUAACUUCUGGCUUAUUCUGUAACUAUUAGAAAAAAAACAAAACUCCUUGAGGACAGGCUCUAACUUUUGAUUCUCUGCUGUGUCCAGCACAUGGACUUUCAAAAUAACUGUGCACAGUAUAUUUUUAAAAAAUUAAUUGAAAUGAAGGCAUUGCAACCCAAGUAUGUAGACAUUUUUUCUAACUGUGGAUAAUGAGUAUAUCACCAAAAAAACCUGUAUUUGUGUUUUGACUUGUAAUUUUAUCUGUCCCCAAAAUAUGGUCAUCAGCUUGGGUAUAUUUGCACCUGCCUAAGAAGGGCAUGCCUUCACCUGAGAUUCCACAAGGAAUGCAGAUCAUGGCCUUACCGCAAAUGAGUGUUAAUUUUUCAUCAAAAGACAGAAUACUUUUUUAAAGAUUAUAUGUGUCUAAUUUUUUUUUCUUUCAGCAAAAUCUUAAACAUACAAAAACAGAUACUGUGUUUCAUUGUCUAAAGGAAGAGACAGCUCUGUGUGCCAUGCUGCACAGCAGAACUGGUUUAAAAUGUUUAUCUUAAAAGACAUCUGAUCACUUAUUAGUUACAUAGUAAAGCUAUAGUGACAUUACUGAUGAAUAGCAUAUAUUUCUCUUCAAAGUUAAUAUAAAGCAUAUCAAAAUUAAUUAAAAAUGUAAGUAAUAUUGAAUAUGAUACUCUUCUGCUCCAGGUUAUGACUUGAAUUUAUAUUAGUUUGCAUGUUAACUCUGUAAAUGAAUAAAUAAGUCAAGAGGUUGAACCGCACUAGUUUACUUAAUCUUCAUAUUCUGAAGAAUAUGCCAGGUAUAUGCCAUUUCUUGAUUAUUUUUGAAUUAUCGACUCUUUAACAUUUACUCAAAUAUUAACACGUUUGUUAUUUCUGUCAUAAAAAUGCUUUAUUUUAUAAUAUUUAUAAAAUUACCGUACACUUAUUUAAAUAUAUCCAUUUGUAAUUCUAACAUAUUUUGCAUUAUGUUAUCACAUCUACAAUAAGAAACAAUUUUCAUAAUGCAAAAAUAAUAGUACCUCUUUCCAGAAUCUAAUAAAAUAUAUAAAAGAAUACUGAUAGUUUGACUUUACGUACACUGGUAUCAUAAAUGGAUAAGCAAGAUAUUGUAAGUGGGGAAACCUUUGGUUAUAACUUACAACUAAAAAUUGUAUUGUUCACACAGAGAAAAUUUGGGUAAUGAAAUGGGGUACCAUUAAUAAUUAUUUGGGAAGAAGUAGCAGCAGGGUAGACUGGGACCUAACAGUAAUUAUAAACUCUAAUUAUUGUGGUGUUGUGACAGCAUGAUAAGAAGUAGAUUAAUUCUAAUUGACCUAUCAAAUCCUCUAUGUUCAUGGUCAUAGAAAUACUCUGAUUUCAAUGUAAUAAUUAAUAAUGUAUAAAAAGGAAAUGGAAUCUUUGGUUUAAGCCAGUGGUAGAAUAUAUUUUAAAAACUAAAAGAAAAUUAUGUAUUAAUUUUCUACUGUACGAUGAAAAAUAAAUACAAUAUUGUUAACAAA